AUUGAACGCUGGCGGCAUGCCUUACACAUGCAAGUCGAACGGUAACGGGCCUUCGGGUGCCGACGAGUGGCGAACGGGUGAGUAAUGUACCGGAACGUACCUUUCAGUGGGGGAUAACGUAGCGAAAGUUACGCUAAUACCGCAUAUUCUGUGAGCCUGAACGCGGGGGAUCGCAAGACCUUGCGCUGAUUGAGCGGCCGAUAUCAGAUUAGCUAGUUGGUGCGGUAAAGGCUCACCAAGGCGACGAUCUGUAGCGGGUCGGAGAGGAUGAUCCGCCACACUGGAACUGAGACACGGUCCAGACUCCUACGGGAGGCAGCAGUGGGGAAUUUUGGACAAUGGGGGCAACCCUGAUCCAGCCAUGCCGCGUGAGUGAAGAAGGCCUUCGGGUUGUAAAGCUCUUUCGGCCGGGAAGAAAUCGCAUGGGUUAAUACCCUGUGCGGAUGACGGUACCGGCAUAAGAAGCACCGGCUAACUACGUGCCAGCAGCCGCCGUAA
rnacentral:rRNA from 1 species